GAUUCAAAUUCAACUUAUAAAACAACUAAAUUGUAUUAUUUGAUUAUUUUACUAACUCCAGUCAGUUAAAAUCAAUUGUAUCUCUGAAUUUUCCAAUCUGGCGUUCUGGAGGUCCACUUGAUUGACUCAUUGCAGCUUGGGAAGUCGCUCCUCGAAUAAAUUCUGCCAUAAAACUGGCAAUGAAACUUAUGUAUAAGAAGUUAUGCUCUCGGUCGAUUCGAUAAGCUUCAAAAAUGUAAUCUGAUUUUUAUUGUACUGAAUGCAACAAUGAGCGAGAGCGAAAGAAAUAUUUCAGAAGGAUUUGAUUUAAAAUGCAUGGGAAAAUAACUUCAAUCUGUUCAGGAAAUUGUUUAGGGUGAUUGAACGUAAGCCGUUUCAGCUAAUCCGAAAAAAAUACAUUUACAAAUGUCCUUCGUGAUGCUCAACGCUCUGCACAUUUAACAAACAAUUUUCGGUCAAUUGUGUCGAAACAUUCCCUAUUUCGAUUCAAUACCUACUGUAGUUCAGAGUUCCACUUGGUUCUGCUGGGCUCCGCUUAUCCUGGUCCUCAAGCUCAUCCUCCUGCAUCUUGUUCUUGUUGUGGUUUAAUGGAUUUGCAGUUUGCAGUUCCUUAACAAUUCCAUGUUAUUUUCGCUUUUUUGCGUUUCCUUUCUCGCGCUUGCCCUUUUCGUGUUGGAGUUGAAUUUUCGCAAUCGCCCCCUUUUAUUUUUUGUGUUUGGUUCGGAUUUUUCUGCUCUCAUUUUGUAGUUUUUUUUUUUUUUGUAUUUUGGUAAUUGCUUGCCAUUGUUGGUAGUGCUGCAACGAUUGCAGGGCGAACUUUCCCCAAUGGAGUUCGCAAUUGUUGAGCAUUGUGCGACUAAAGUAAACUCUUUAAAUAUCCCCCGGUUGAUAUCCCUUUCCUCAUGUCCACGCCCCUCAGUUAUCAAUCGAAGAGAAAUCAAGGAAAAGUUUUUUUGUUCUGGGAUGAGGGCAAAUCUGUGCCUUCAAAUUAACUCGUACCCAACACGUAUCUAAUUUCAUUUUCACUACAUGUGUGGCACAUAAAAAACUAAUUCAAAGCGCUCAAUAUAAUUUAUAUCCUAUCUGGACAACAAACAAAAAAAAGGACACCAGGAGCACAAGCAGGAAAGGACGAAACGAAACUCCAGGGAACCUGGGACCUGAGACCAGAACCAACGAUGCUCAAUCGCACACAGCAAUCAGCCCAAAAAGGCGAGCGAAUUUUUUUUGUAAUUUUUAUGACCCCAAAAGACGCAUCAAUUCCGAAGGGCAGAUCUCCGAACAAAGGACCCCAAUACACACCCAAUAAGAGAGGGCGGACAAAGCAAACUUAUUUAAAGAUAGCUCACCCAUGCGUCCAAGCGUCCUCGACAUUUGUGUAGCCUCCAGAGCGAGGGAAAGUGGGUCUUCGUCUCCGACUAUAAACUGUUCCAAGUUAUCUAAAGUGUUAAAUCACCUGAUGCCGUCAGCAUGAAAUUUACGCACAUAAAUCUUUCGGGACCAACCCAAGUCUGAAACUGAGAAUGGGCCGCAAAAAAAACAUAAACCAAACAUAAGCAGGCCCCUUUAACCAACGAAAAAACACGGCAGGAGCAACAACUCAAAAAGCUAGAAAAGCGAGAGUUGAUCGGUGGGUUGUAAAAACCGGAGAUAUAAUGUUUAAUAAACCUAUGAUUCUCGUC